UGCCAGGCGUGCUGAAAUUGUCUGUUCUC
rnacentral:piRNA from 1 species